rnacentral:tRNA from 1 species
GGUAGGAUGGCUGAGGGUAAAGCAGGGGGCUGUAGUCCCCCGUACAGAGGUUUAAGUCCUUUUCCUGCCA